AUCAAAUCUCAUAAUUACUUGUGCCACCUUACAUUUUGCCAACAGACCCUAUACAUAAUUGGUUACUCCAUGCUUGACUUUGUUUAAGAUAAAGUUUUACAUAGCUUAUACAACUAUUCAUUACAGUUCUAAUAUACAUUAAACUAUAAUACAUUAAUUGUAGUAGAUUAUUUCUAAUCUAUACACAAAUAUAAGUCUAGCGAGAUUGCUCUUACUAUUUAAUUUAUUACAUUAGGAUGGCUCCAGGGGCGAAGCUACAUAGAGACCACUGCAAACAGGUGCCCAGUGCACUUGAUUUUGAGCUUGACACAAGAAAAAUCAAUGUGGCUGCACUGGACCAAGAAGAGAAGAAGAAGGGAAGAAGCAGAGCACGCACUGACAUUAGUAGAGCCAGAAUUUACAUGUUGGGAGAGAGGACAAUCGCCAUUUACCAUUGUUGCAGGUAGUAGCAGACAGAAAGGUUGAAGAAUGAAGGGAAAAGAUAGAGAAGAAGAUAAGUGUUAGACUUGGGCUAAAUUGCCAAAGAAAUUUAGGAAAAAUUCAUAAUCCAGAAGAUCAGUAUAGGACCUUUCAAAUCUAAGAUUACAUGUUUGAAUCUUCAAAAAUCAAAAAUUAAAUGGGUGGAGAGAGAGAAUCUUGGUGGGAGGAGAGAGAAGAAGAUUGGAGAGAGAAGGAAAUGUGAUAGAAAUUAAAUAACAGGUGGGGGAGAUAGAAUAUUGGUGGGAGGAGAGAGAAGGAGAUUGGGGAGAGAGAAUAAAU
rnacentral:lncRNA from 1 species